rnacentral:rRNA from 1 species
UACGUCGGGGGCAAGCGUUGUCCGGAAUCCUUGGGCGUAACGCGCGUGUAGGCGGUCCGGUAAGUCCGCUGUGAAAGUCGGGGGCUCAACCCUCGGAUGCCGGUGGAUACUGUCGGGCUUGAGUACGGAAGAGGCGAGUGGAAUUCCUGGUGUAGCGGUGAAAUGCGCAGAUAUCAGGAGGAACACCAAUUGCGAAGGCAGCUCGCUGGGACGUUACUGACGCUGAGACGCGAAAGCGUGGGGAGCAAACAGG